CAUGAACUAGAGUGGAAACUUCC
rnacentral:piRNA from 1 species